GAGGGGUGGCAGAGUGGUUGAAUGCGGCGGUCUCGAAAACCGUUUGGCCUGCAUAAGGUCACGAGGGUUCGAAUCCCUCCUCCUCC
rnacentral:tRNA from 1 species